rnacentral:rRNA from 1 species
GUGAACCUUUACUAUAGCUUGACACUGAACAUUGAGCCUUGAUGUGUAGGAUAGGUGGGAGGCUUUGAAGUGUGGACGCCAGUCUGCAUGGAGCCGACCUUGAAAUACCACCCUUUAAUGUUUGAUGUUCUAACGUGGACCCGUUACCCGGGUUGCGGACAGUGUCUGGUGGGUAGUUUGACUGGGGCGGUCUCCUCCUAAAGAGUAACGGAGGAGCACGAAGGUUGGCUAAUCCUGGUCGGACAUCAGGAGGUUAGUGCAAUGGCAUAAGCCAGCUUGACUGCGAGCGUGACGGCGCGAGCAGGUGCGAAAGCAGGUCAUAGUGAUCCGGUGGUUCUGAAUGGAAGGGCCAUCGCUCAACGGAUAAAAGGUACUCCGGGGAUAACAGGCUGAUACCGCCCAAGAGUUCAUAUCGACGGCGGUGUUUGGCACCUCGAUGUCGGCUCAUCACAUCCUGGGGCUGAAGUAGGUCCCAAGGGUAUGGCUGUUCGCCAUUUAAAGUGGUACGCGAGCUGGGUUUAGAACGUCGUGAGACAGUUCGGUCCCUAUCUGCCGUGGGCGCUGGAGAACUGAGGGGGGCUGCUCCUAGUACGAGAGGACCGGAGUGGACGCAUCACUGGUGUUCGGGUUGUCAUGCCAAUGGCACUGCCCGGUAGCUAAAUGCGGAAGAGAUAAGUGCUGAAAGCAUCUAAGCACGAAACUUGCCCCGAGAUGAGUUCUCCCUG